rnacentral:lncRNA from 1 species
GGAGAAAGUGAAGAUGAUGCAGAUGAUGAUGAUGCAAGUGAAGAUGAUGAUGAUGAAGCAAGUGAAGAUGCUGUGGCUACCACCCCAACACCAAUUCCCCCAACUACAUCUGACCACACUGCAGCUACCGAUGAUGCAAGUGAGGGUGCUGUGGCUGCCCAAACUGGAACUACUGUAUCCCCUACGACUGAAGUCUGAUUCGACUGCUCCUCUGGUCACAAUGACCUGUCUGGACUUUGUGCCUCUACAUGUUGACUGCAAUAAAGGACAGAUUUGUAUUUUUUAAUCAAAUGUUGUCUUGCCUUUUUCAAAUUGAGGCCUUGUCCUGUUUUGGUAGUGGAGAUGACUAUGAAGCCUCUUUCCUAACGUAUUUCCUGUAGUGGUUUUACUAUAUGCUUUAUGCAACAAGGCCUUCAACGACUCAACAAUUUAAAAGCAUCUAGUUUUGUCUGAAUUUGUAAAAUGGUUGAACUGGUAGUGAUGCACUAUAAUGGUGAACUGCUUGUGGCAUUUCAAUAAUCUGUACUGUUUUACAUGUACAUCUCAAGUGAAUUUGCAUGGUAAUUGGUAAACUGAUGUCCGUCCCUACUAGGGGAGUACUGGCCUUAGUAGACUAACCCCCUGAAAGGCAUUCAAACAAUAACAGCCUAGUUGAGGCUGAGGGAACCUUGCCAUUGCGUUAACUGGUGUCUCUUGGCAAUACAGUUUACAAUGUUGUGCUGUGAAAGCUUUUCAUGGGGUCUUUAGUCCCAGAGCAGCAGGGACCAAGUGCAUAUCCAGGAUGGGUAAUGGGAAUCUCUCGUUCACAGGACCAUAUACAAUCAAAAUAGAAAUAUCAAAACUUGAAGUCUUGUGUUAAUGUUUGUUACAAACCUAUCCAAGUAUAUAACACAAUGGUUGGCCUUUUAUUUGUUUUGGAGCAAUUCUGAUUGGUGUUUUACUUUGCAUCAAUGUAACGGCUAUGUAAAUGGCAUACAGUGUAUGUACUUAACUUUUUAACACAGAGCUGAAUAUACCAUUACAUACUUGUGGUAUCUAUUUGUGGAAGCCUACCUUUACUAUAUCACAACUAGUUUGCUUUGCAUUAUAUAUUAGCAAAUCUGCUGUAAGUAAGGAAAAAUGAAAGACAUGAAGUGUAACAUAUUUAACAAAAAACACCUGCUUCUCACGUAAAAACAGACCUGGCCCUGAUCUAGCAUGAAGCCGUCCCAGAUAUUGUUCCGGUAUGGGGCUGCCGCAUCAGCACACAGCCAUUUAGUGAUCUUGUUAGCAAUAGAUGCUCACAUGUGGCGUACCAAACACACAGUACUUCUCUUCAUGAACAAUCAAGCUGGCCAAGCCAUGUUUGAUAGUCAUGGCUCAUGAAUGGAUGGAGGAAUGAGUGAAUAAAUGAAUGUACUUAUAUGAACA